rnacentral:pre_miRNA from 1 species
CAUAUACUCUCUCCGUUCGGAAUUACUUGUCUUGAAAAUGAAUGUAUCUAGAACUAAAAUAAGUCUAGAUAUAUCCAUUUAUGCGACAAGUAAUUUCGAACGGAGGGAGUACAUC